rnacentral:tRNA from 1 species
GGCUUGUAGCUCAGGUGGUUAGAGCGCACCCCUGAUAAGGGUGAGCUCGGUGGUUCAAGUCCACUCAGGCC